UACGGAGGGUGCAAGCGUUAAUCGGAAUUACUGGGCGUAAAGCGUGCGUAGGCGGUUCGUUAAGUCUGUUGUGAAAGCCCCGGGCUCAACCUGGGAAUGGCAAUGGAUACUGGCGAGCUAGAGUGUGUCAGAGGAUGGUGGAAUUCCCCGGUGUAGCGGUGAAAUGCGUAGAGAUCGGGAGGAACAUCAAUGGCGAAGGCAGCUCGCUGGGACGGUACUGACGCUGAGGCGCGAAAGCGUGGGGAGCAAACAGG
rnacentral:rRNA from 1 species